rnacentral:rRNA from 1 species
UUUAUUGGAGAGUUUGAUCCUGGCUCAGGAUGAACGCUGGCGGCGUGCCUAAUACAUGCAAGUCGAGCGAAUGGAUUAAGAGCUUGCUCUUAUG